rnacentral:rRNA from 1 species
CCUACGUGAGGCAGCAGUGAGGAAUAUUGGUCAAUGGACGAGAGUCUGAACCAGCCAAGUAGCGUGAAGGAUGACUGCCCUAUGGGUUGUAAACUUCUUUUAUAAAGGAAUAAAACGAGGCAAGUGUGCCUUUUUGCAUGUACUUUAUGAAUAAGGAUAGGCUAACUCCGUGCCAGCAGCCGCGGUAAUACGGAGGAUCCGAGCGUUAUACGGAUUUAUUGGGUUUAAAGGGAGCGUAGAUGGGUUGUUAAGUCAGUUGUGAAAGUUUGCGGCUCAACCGUAAAAUUGCUAUUGAUACUGGCAGUCUUGAGUCCAGUUGAUGUAGGCGGAAUUCGUGGUGUAGCGGUGAAAUGCUUAGAUAUCACGAAGAACCCCGAUUGCGAAGGCAGCUUACUAAACUGUGACUGACAUUGAUGCUCGACAGUGUGGGUAUCAAACAGGAUUAGAUACCCCUGUACUC